CUUAUACUCCCUCCGUUCUGAAUUACUUGUCGCACGUAUGGAUGUAUCUAGAUGUAUUUUAGUUCUAGAUACAUCCAUUUCAGCGACGAGUAAUUUGGAACGGAGGGAGUAGUAA
rnacentral:pre_miRNA from 1 species